CGACGCGGUGGCGAGCGACAUCAACUACUUGAAGAACUACAGAAAUAACCCCACCCAACCCACCCCGUCCCGCACCUGACGCACCCCGGGGGCGCGUCACCCACACGGGUGAGGUUUGCCAACUGAGCUGGAUUUCGCACCGGUUGGCAGGCAUAUGCUCACGCCAGCACCACCUCAGACACACGUCGGCCCCCGGCCGGGACUGCGAAUCCCGAUCGAGGGCCUGACCACCAAGGAAGAAGCAAGCUUCCCG
rnacentral:ncRNA from 1 species